GCGAGUACUAGCGAAGUUGCAGAAGCGUCUGAAACUCCCAGAAAGAAAUUCGUUCCCGUUCAGGUUUGCCCAUCGCUUCUGCUGGCCCUGUCCUUCCAGCCAUCUGCAUCAUUUGUAAAAAAAGUGUCAAAGUAUGCUCGUUUGGGAUCGGAAGACAAACGGCAGCGGGAUCAUCUCGCCAGAGCAGAGACAUUGUCGGCAGGCCGGUUGCUGCAGGCAGCAGAGAUGAAGAAAGACUCUUCAAUCCUUCAACAUAUCAAAGACAAAGACUGUUGCAAUGGAGGUGCGAUACCAUAAAUCCUGUUACCGAGAUUACACCAGGUUCCUAACCAAGUCAACAGCAGCAGAAACUGUAACGAGGGACGAAGAACUAUGAGUUAUUACAUUGCACUAUUCCAUUGACACUUUGCUAAAAUUACACAUUUCAAAGACAACCCUAUGCUGAGAGCUACAAACUCGUUUGUGAACAAGUGGUCCGUCAAAGGAUUAUCGUUGACAAAGAAGUGCUCAGAAUGGACAAGCUAAAAAGGUUGUUCGUGAACACCUUGAAGAACCAUGAGGAUCUUGAUGCUUCAGACUACAGGUAGGUUUUCCUGAAAAGAAGAUUGAAGCGCGAUUUCCUCCAGUUGGUUUUUCACACCCCUUUCCAGCGCAACAUGUCUGAAAUGUUUUUUUUUUUUUUUGAGAUAUUAUCAACAACAGACAAACUUUUAGACAGGAUACCUCAGUCAUCGGGUACAUCAGCUCCCGAAUCUACUGAGGUAAGCCAAGAAAGUGACACUGAAAAAAUGGGUAGCACAACAUCAGGUUGGAAAACCAGCUCUGGGCCCAAGUGUUUGUUCAGCCCUCUUUGGCAUCCAUACAUUCACAGGUUGUGACUCGACCAGGGCCUUUCAUGGCAAGGGCAAAACAAAGACAUUUUCUCUUGCUUGUCAGCAAGUAGAAUACCUGACUGCGUUUACAUAUCUGGGUAGUAGUUUUAACCUUGACAAGUCUACAUUUGAGGCAUUGAGCAAACAUAUGUGCCAUCUAUAUGGCCAGUCAACUGCCAAAAAUGUCAACUAUGAAAGAUACAAGGCAUUCUGUAUGGCAUCGUCAGCUUUGCCAGAACUGUCCAUUCCUCCAACAAUUGAUGCUCUCUUCCAACACAGCAAAAGGGCAAACUACCAAGCAGCAGUAAUGCAACAUUCUCUGACUGGUAUGAUGUGUGCCCCUUCACCAAUUGGCAAUGGACGGGACAUUGAGGAUGGUGAAUUAACAGUAAAAUGGAUGACUAGAAAUCAUGCCCCAGAUAGUGUGCCACAGGUAGUCCACUGUGGUUGCAAGAUAAGCAAGUGUGAGACUGAAAGAUGUUCAUGCUUGUCUGCAAAAAUGUCUUGUACAGAUUUAUGCCACUGCCAGAACUGUGAAAAUAUUUCAAAGGAAACAGAAAGAGGCACAUGGGAUAAUGACACUGAUGAUAGUGAUAUUGAUGAGUAAUCACCCACCAUGUCAAAUCUGUCCUAAGUUUUGAUUCAUUAUCAAGAUGGUACUCUCCAUUUUAACCCUUUUAAAACAAAAAAAAAUGUCUGUAUUGCCUUUUCCCAAAACAUAGACCUUUGUUCAAUUUGACUGCCAAAAAAGAUGGAUGUUCCAAUGAAGUGCCAUGGUUUUAUUGUGAAUGCACAUUUG